CAAACGAGCACAUGUGAAUCGGUCAGAUGCUGCAUUGGAGCAAACGCUAUACAUCGGAAGGCACGCAACUUACCUGGAAGAGACUUUUUCUACAAUGGAAGACCUCACAUCUCAACUGACUGCAUUCGUUGAAUGGCUGGGAGAGUACCCACCAGAGCUGACUGCUGGUUCAUCAGAAGGCCGAGGCUCUGUGAUGGGGAAGGCCACUUCUUAUGAUAUGGAGUUAAAAAAAGAAAACGCUGGGAGUACGACAGCUAACUGGCUGCAGCUCUUGCGCAAAACAGACGGUGUGUCGUCUGCUGGAUAGCCUGGAGAAGGAGUAUGAGUGGAUGGAGGACUGCUGUGGCGCAACGGACAAACCU